UACGUAGGGGGCAAGCGUUGUCCGGAUUUAUUGGGCGUAAAGAGCGUGUAGGCGGCCAAGCAGGUCCGCUGUGAAAACUCGAGGCUCAACCUCGAGACGUCGGUGGAAACCGUUUGGCUAGAGUCCGGAAGAGGAGAGUGGAAUUCCCGGUGUAGCGGUGAAAUGCGCAGAUAUCGGGAGGAACACCGGUGGCGAAGGCGGUUCUCUGGGCCUGUACUGACGCUGAGGAGCGAAAGCGUGGGGAGCGAACAGG
rnacentral:rRNA from 1 species